UACGUAGGGCGCAAGCGUUGUCCGGAAUUAUUGGGCGUAAAGAGCUCGUAGGCGGCUUGUCACGUCGGGUGUGAAAGCCCGGGGCUUAACCCCGGGUCUGCAUUCGAUACGGGCUAGCUAGAGUGUGGUAGGGGAGAUCGGAAUUCCUGGUGUAGCGGUGAAAUGCGCAGAUAUCAGGAGGAACACCGGUGGCGAAGGCGGAUCUCUGGGCCAUUACUGACGCUGAGGAGCGAAAGCUAGGGGAGCAAACAGG
rnacentral:rRNA from 1 species